rnacentral:rRNA from 1 species
UAACAGGAAGAAGCUUGCUUCUUUGCUGACGAGUGGCGGACGGGUGAGUAAUGUCUGGGAAACUGCCUGAUGGAGGGGGAUAACUACUGGAAACGGUAGCUAAUACCGCAUAACGUCGCAAGACCAAAGAGGGGGACCUUCGGGCCUCUUGCCAUCGGAUGUGCCCAGAUGGGAUUAGCUAGUAGGUGGGGUAACGGCUCACCUAGGCGACGAUCCCUAGCUGGUCUGAGAGGAUGACCAGCCACACUGGAACUGAGACACGGUCCAGACUCCUACGGGAGGCAGCAGUGGGGAAUAUUGCACAAUGGGCGCAAGCCUGAUGCAGCCAUGCCGCGUGUAUGAAGAAGGCCUUCGGGUUGUAAAGUACUUUCAGCGGGGAGGAAGGGAGUAAAGUUAAUACCUUUGCUCAUUGACGUUACCCGCAGAAGAAGCACCGGCUAACUCCGUGCCAGCAGCCGCGGUAAUACGGAGGGUGCAAGCGUUAAUCGGAAUUACUGGGCGUAAAGCGCACGCAGGCGGUUUGUUAAGUCAGAUGUGAAAUCCCCGGGCUCAACCUGGGAACUGCAUCUGAUACUGGCAAGCUUGAGUCUCGUAGAGGGGGGUAGAAUUCCAGGUGUAGCGGUGAAAUGCGUAGAGAUCUGGAGGAAUACCGGUGGCGAAGGCGGCCCCCUGGACGAAGACUGACGCUCAGGUGCG